UACGUAGGGUGCGAGCGUUAAUCGGAAUUACUGGGCGUAAAGCGUGCGCAGGCGGUCUGUUAAGACCGAUGUGAAAUCCCCCGGGCUCAACCCGGGAACUGCGUCCGAUACUGGCAGGCUUGAAUCCGGGAGAGGGAUGUGGAAUUCCAGGUGUAGCGGUGAAAUGCGUAGAUAUCGGGAGGAACACCAGUGGCGAAGGCGGCUCUCUG
rnacentral:rRNA from 1 species